rnacentral:rRNA from 1 species
UGCGCAGGCGGUUCGUUGUGUCUGCUGUGAAAUCCCCGGGCUCAACCUGGGAAUGGCAGUGGAAACUGGCGAGCUUGAGUGUGGCAGAGGGGGGUGGAAUUCCGCGUGUAGCAGUGAAAUGCGUAGAGAUGCGGAGGAACACCGAUGGCGAAGGCAACCCCCUGGGCUGACACUGACGCUCAGGCACGAAAGCGUGGGGAGCAAACAGGAUUAGAUACCCUGGUAGUCCACGCCCUAAACGAUGUCAACUGGGUGUUGGGGAAGCGAUUUCUCAGUACCGUAGCUAACGCGUGAAGUUGACCGCCUGGGGAGUACGGCCGCAAGGUUAAA